GCUGGUGAACGCAGCAGGCCAGGCAGCAUCUCUAGGAAGAGGUGCAGUCGACGUUUCGGGCCGAGACCCUUCAUUCCCUGCUAAGCCUGCAGCAUUCUGGUACAACCUUCUGGAUGAUACAUGCGGUUGUGAACAGACCUGAACACGGUGCAGUCUUCAGCAAGCAUCCUUGCAUCUGACAUUGUGGUGGAGGUAAAGUCAUAAAUAAAGCAGCCUGAAGAUGAUUGGCCCCAAGAGAUUGCUCUGAUCCAAGAGCUAAGAAUGAACAGAAUGUGUGCUCCAUCUGAAACCCGUACCGCAGUGAGAGAUGGCACCUUCGGAGGAGAGGACCAGCGUCCCAGCGGGAACCGACACCUUCGGGAGAGAAUGGGAACCAUA